AACGCGAAGAACCUUACCCACCUUUGACAUGGCAGGAAGUUUCCAGAGAUGGAUUCGUGCUCGAAAGAGAACCUGCACACAGGUGCUGCAUGGCUGUCGUCAGCUCGUGUCGUGAGAUGUUGGGUUAAGUCCCGCAACGAGCGCAACCCUUGCCAUUAGUUGCUACGAAAGGGCACUCUAAUGGGACUGCCGGUGACAAACCGGAGGAAGGUGGGGAUGACGUCAAGUCCUCAUGGCCCUUAUAGGUGGGGCUACACACGUCAUACAAUGGCUGGUACAAAGGGUUGCCAACCCGCGAGGGGGAGCCAAUCCCAUAAAGCCAGUCGUAGUCCGGAUCGCAGUCUGCAACUCGACUGCGUGAAGUCGGAAUCGCUAGUAAUCGUGGAUCAGCAUGUCACGGUGAAUACGUUCCCGGGUCUUGUACACACCG
rnacentral:rRNA from 1 species